CCCCCCCUAUAUGUCUAAUAUAUUCAUCUUUGCUGAUCCUAUCAAUCAACGAUUGAGCCAGCAUAAGAAGAAUAAAGGUUGGGGUUUUAUGUCAAGCCAUAAGGGUACCCCCGCUUAAAUGUGUUUCUGACUCUUAUUCUUUGAACUUAGAUAUACAUGCAACUGUUUAAUUGUAUAUGCGAAGAUUCUGUUUUUUUUAUUGUAUCUUAUGUGAUGUAUUUAUUAUUUAUGCUCAUCUUUUCUUUUGUAUAUACAACAAGUACAUUUGUGCAUCAUGUCUCUACAUGUGUGUAUGACAUCAUAUCUAUCAUCGUUUUAUUUACAUGUUGGUAUGGUUAAAUCUAAAUUCAGAGUUGUGUAUAUAUACACACAUUUGUCAUUCAUAUAAAAAAUAAUAAGAUAAAUCGCUUUGGCCCGCCCAAGAAUUCUUGGCUCUGCCACUGCCAUCAGAUGCAUUUGAUCCUCAUUCCUCACUGUUGUGUCACUGUUCAUAUAUUAUCCCUGGUUGAUGUCUUCGCAGGGCAAGCAUAGAGCCCAAUUUUCAUGACUUGUACUUG
rnacentral:misc_RNA from 1 species